GCCGUGGCCCCGCCUUCCGGGAGCUCGCCCCGCCCCUGCGGGACCUGCGGGGAGCUGCAGCGCAGACCCCGGGGCGCUGGUCGCGGAGCAAGGUCCUUGUGGGCGCUCUACCUGGCCUGCAGUAGCGGCUCGCGGGAGGAAAAAAUUUUAAAAGCAGAACCUUAGCAGAGAAGGCCUGACCGCAUCGAAGAUCCACUGACUCAGCCACUGGGGUGGGGAGGUAUGGGUGCCUGGGUAGUGUCCUGGCUUUGUUAUUUUUAAAAGGACCCCAUGCACAGCCAUGGUUAGGAAGCUCCAGUAAAGCCUGGAACCCAGGUGCUUUCUGCUCUUUAGGGAAGGGCUGUGUCUCCUGCUGCUUCUAGCAGGUGGGUCAUUGGGUCAACUAGUUCCUGGGUGUCCAGAAGCCAUACGGAGUUCCAUGCUUGGUGAAAGAGUGUGAGACCUGUGCCGUAGGACUCAUAAGCUUGUGAGGUCACUUCAAGGAAGCAGAUGCUUAGCCACAGUGCGUGAUGCAUCUUCGGACUCACAGCAUUUGUGGGAACAGGGUUUUGAAGAAUUGAGUGGGAAGUAAGGGUGGUGGGGGAGUCAGCAUGUGGCAAGAACAGACAAGAAUCUUAGAAAUAAAGUCUGAGGCCUGGCAUGAGAGUGACGUGAAGUGGAAGGGACUGGCCCUGCCAUGGGGAGCAAAGAAGAGCUGCCCUUGGGCACAGUGUGAUUCCUUCGUUAACAAGCCAGUGCAGGCAUUUGGAAUGGAGAAAGAAACAGCUACACACCUGCUCAAGGUUAAGCUUGCAGAAAUCUGAGAGCUAGGCAUAGCUCUCUUGCAAUUACCAAAUGACCUGAGUAACGGAAAGUAGUAUGUUGAGGAGGAUCAGUCGGUUGUACAGAGAAGAGCCUAGUGUAGCAGAACCCUCCAGCUGCUGGUUCUAAAGGAAGACCAGCUUGAUUCCUGCUCUGGACCGCAUAUCAUGUGUCAUUUUUUGCCCUGCCCUUCCCUUUUGCCCCUCCCCUUCUCAUCCCCGCUGCUAUUCUCUUCCCCUCUGUUUCUCCCCUUCCCUCUCUUUUCUGUGUGGAGGAGAUAGGACACAUCUUUCUACACAUACAUAUGCUCUUACUUUUGGCUUUAGUACUGUGGUUUACUUCUUGUGUUAAAGAAUAAUUUGCAGAAACGCAUCACAAAUCACAAAGCUGUAUACAAAUACAGAAUAAAAUACAUUUCAAAUACCUUAUUAAAUUCAGUAAUUAAUGAGAGACCAGUAAGAUCGCAGUUAUAUUAAAACUGGCUCAAAUGAGGUUUUGACUGUUUUGUUGAGAUGAGGGUCUCAUUAGGUAGUUGAGGUUGGUCUCAAACUCAAGGUGAUCCUCCCAAGUGCUGGAAUUAUAGGAGUUAUUCCACCACGCCCUGCGAGGUUUUGACCUUUAGAAAUGUCUGUUUUGCAUCACCCAGAAAAUGAAUCACUUUCCAUGUUUUGGGCUGGAAACAUCUUGGAUGAUUAUGAAUAUUCUACAAGUUAAUUUCUAUUUCUAAAGAGUUAGAAAAUGGGACCAGGUAUAUAGCUCAGCAGCACAAGCGCCUGCCUGGCAAGGCAAGUGCAAGGUGCUGAGUUUGAUUCCCGGUACCCCCCCCCCAAAAAAAAAAGGCAAAAGCAGUUAGACAUGGUUUGUUCUCUCCAGGACUCAUGUUGAAAUUUACGCUCCAGUAUGAGAUAAAGCUUCCUAGGGCUCUGCCCUUAUGAAAUCUUGAGAUUAAGGAGCUGCCUCAAGAGUAGAUCUCCUACAAGAGUCAAUGUGGCUAGUCACUGAGCUCUUUCUGUCCCUGUGCCAUCUCUGGAUUCCACCAGCAAGAAGGCCUAGACCAGAACUACGAACCCAAAUAAGCCUCUUUUCUCCCUCUCUCCUUUCCUUCCACUUUCCUCCCUUUCUCCUUUCUUUCACCCCUUCUUUCCUUUUUGCAUUACUACAGACUGAACCCAGACCCUCCACUAACUGCAUCCCCAGCCCUUUUAAAACUUUUGAGGUGGGUUCUUGCUAAGUCACUAAACCGCCUGGGGUUGGGCAUGAACUUGUGAUCCUCCUGCCUCAGCUUCCAGAAUACUAACAUUACAAGUGUGGUCACCGCACGCAGCUUUUUAAAAAUUAAAGCAAAGCAAAGCAAAGCCAAAUUUACCCAGUCUGUGGUAUUGUCAGUAACAGAAAACAGACUAAGAUGUUAUCUGAAUGAUCUUGUUUGUUUACUUAAUUGUUGUCUGUCCUGCUAGCUCCAUGAAAAUGGGAACCUUUCUUAGAUCUUAUUCUUCACUGUCUCCGGCAUCUAGAACAAUGCCCAGAUGAGGGUGCUCAGGAACUAUUUGCUGGACCACUUGGAUGAAUGUGAUGGGAGGAGGACUUGGGAAGUUCUGUACCCAAACUGUGCUAUGUAGUGUAAGGGCCUGAGAUAGCAUUGCAAAUAGUGCUGUACACUUUGCAAAUUCUAAGGACCAGUAUACGACCGAACCUUUAAUGAAUGGGAUUUGUGGGGUGAGAUAGAGAAUUACAGAACUGGUUUCUUUCUUUUUUUUUUUUUUUUUUUCUUUUUUGGAAACAAGGUCUCACUUCUGAUUCAGGCUGGCCUUGAGCUCACUGUUUCCCACGUCAGCCCUACACUCACGGCUUUCCUCCUGCCUUAGCCUCCUGAGUGCUGGGAUCACAGAUGUGUGCCACCAUACCCAGCUGUUUGGCUUUAUACUAUCUCUUUGCAUCUUCUUCAGGAGGCUAUUCUUCAUGAAUUUUCUACUCUUUAUAAAAGUAGUAUUAUAACAUAUCUAGAUGUCUCCCAGAGCUUCUGACCUUGUAGGAGGGGCUUUGGAAGGUGAGUGAAUUAUGAGGGUGACAUAGCUGAUUUGCUAUGAGGAGUGGGGUUUGGCUACAAGAGGCAGGUCACUGAGGGCAUGACCUGGAAGGGUCCAUCUCCUGCCUCUCAUCCUCUCUCCUCUCUGCUUCCUGGCCACCAUAAUGUGAGCAGUUUUUCCUCCACUAUGCCCAUCUGUCAUGCUGUCCUGCCUUGGAACUGGAGGACUAUGGACCGAAAAUGUAAGUCAAAAUAAACCUCUUUUUCGUUAAAUAAUGAGUGUCAGGUGUUGUGUCCCAGUAAUGAAGCAGUGGCUAAGACAGGUAGCAACCAGUGACCAUCACUUCAGCUUCCAUCUUGGUAAAUAAGCUGACCUGUUGAAACAGUAUUGUAAAACUUCAAACUUUCUAAUUAAUGCUGUUCCUUGUCUCUCAUCUUAGCUCUGCUACAAGUGUCUGUUUAUGGAAAAAAGAGAAAAAUAGAGCUUACUAGGUAUCUAUUUUCCCUCCUUUCUCUCCUCUCUUCCUUAUUUGCUAACCCUCCUUUCUCAGGGGUUGAGCAGGGCAGGAGGGAGGAGAGAUGAAAAAGUUCUUGUUAAAUACUGUCACAAAUUGAUUUUAGUUCUUGCAAGUAUCUAAAGGAUCCUGUUGUAGAUUCUUCAGAUUCCCUUUCUUUUGGUGGUAUUUCUGUUCCUAGUUACUCUAAUGCAUGUGAAUUCACUUCGUUAGUCACACAGUCUUUAAAAAUCCCUAUGCAUUAAAAUCAACAUUAUUAAUGUAUGUAUUUUACAUAAAAUAAAUGCACAUGUCCUAAAUGUACAGAUUGGUCAAUUUUGCACGUGUGUGCCUGUAGCUAUCUCCAAAAUAAAGAUGAAGAAAAUUUACCUCUGCCUCUUCUAAGUCCCAAGAAUUCGACAGUGUGUCUCAUUUUCUUCUGCCAAGGCCUCCUCAAGCUCUCAGAUGGUAUCCUGGUUCUCCCUCUUUCCCUGGCUCAGACCUGCUCUAGGGGAGCACUGGGGCACCCUUGUCCUGGAAAAGCAUGGAGCACAGGUCUGUCUCACACAGCCGCCCACACACGGCCACACAAAACACAGCUCAUUGCUCCCUGCACUUUGGGUCUUCAGGGGUAGUGGGAUGUCAGUACUCUGUGUCCCCAACAUGUAAGUAUAUGUUCUCCAGGUAGUUUCUUUAAAGUCUUCUCAGUUUGGACUAAAUGGGGGAGAACUCAUAGCCCCCUGCUAAUUCUCGCCAAAGAUCCCUCUCUCACAUUUGAACCUCUGGACCCUUUCUCAAAGUGCACAGGGCGAUGAACAGUUGCAAGCAUGGUUUUUAUGCCCUGUCCCCUUUCUAAGUUUCACGUGGCAGUGCCAUAGCUCAAGCUGGAAGGUGCCAUUUACUGUCUUGGCUCUUCAGCAGAGACUAAGUGUCAGGUUCUCAGUAGGCAUGUAAGUCACCAAGAGAAGGUGGUCAUUGUUCAGAAACUUCAAGGGAGAAUGUGAGUCCAAACAGUAUUUUUGACAGAUGUCUUAGAUGAGAGAACAUGAGUAAACCUGCAUCAUACAAAGAUGUCCCUACAAAAUAACUGGAAAUUAGACAUAGAAGGAUGAAAUUCACUUUGAAGGGAAAGGGUAACGGGAAGUCUAGGGAAACAAAGGCAACACUGAGAAACAUCAAUAGUCUAAGUGCUAGCAUUGUGUUUGUUGACAGAAAUGAAAAGUGAGACACAAUUCUUGCCUUCAAGGAGGUCAUUCAGCAGGGUGCCAUGGUGAAUGCCUGUAAUUCCAGCACUCUGAGGAGCUGGAGACAGGGAGACUGAGUUUAGGGCCAGCCUUAGCAACUCGGCAAAAGCCGGUCUUUCAAAAAAAAUCCGUUCUCAUAAACUGUUUAGGAGAAGUUCUACUCAUGUAUACGUGUAUACGUAUCCUUUCUGUAUAAUGCAUGAUGAAAUGAACAGCUGCUUGGAAGAAAAAGAGACACUAAGGUACCCAAGGCUAAUUCUGUAUCGUCAUGCUGUGAAUUCCAGUAAUGCCAUUAUUCUUUGUUCAGAGUGAUUUUAGUCUGUUUUGUAUUGUUUAAUUUUGACAUACAUGAAGGUAUAGGCAGCUAUUUUGAAGAGAACGACAGACAUUAUGGAGUCACUGUUGAUUGCCCUAUCAUCUGGUUUUGAAGGCCUAUAAUGCCUUCAUCACUGUUCUGAUCAGUUUAAUACUAUUUUGUUUUGUAUGAAUUCACUGUGUGUGAAGAUGUGGACAACUAUUUAGAAGAAAAUAAGAGACAUUAUGGUAGCCAGUGAUGAUCUCCUGUUGUCUUGCUUUGAAAUCUGUGUCAUUUACAUUGUUUUCUUCUGCUUGGUUUUGUUCUGUUUAGUUUUACCCUCCUUAAAAUAAAACUUUAAAAGAAGCCCAGGUACAUAGCUGGUACAUAGCUCAGUCUGAGGGUCUAUCCCCAGUAACCAUGCCAUCCUGCCCUAAAGAAAGAAGAAAAAGAAAAAAAUCCAGAUCGCACAUGGUCUAGAAGAGAAAACAAGAAAAGUUAGCCAUAGACAAAAUGUAUAGAAUCUAUUUUAAGUGACGGAACAUGAAAAUGUCGAGAAUGAACAGUACACUGGUACAAAGGAGAAUCACCCAGCUCAGAAGAGGAGGUUGUGUUGUUAAUGAAAGAUCCUAGGAAAAGUGACCGAGCUGAAAGUUAAGAGUGAUAGAUACUGGCAGACAAAAGAAAGAUUAAGUAUAUUUUAAGAGCCGAGAAUAGGAACAGACAAGAAAUGAGAAGCUUCUGAAGAUACUGGAAACUUCGGGGUACUAAAAUUGUUUGUUAUGGCAAGAAUGAGAUUGCAUACAGCAGAGAAUGAUGGUGAAGCUGGAGAGAUGGGCCGCACCAUAGUGAGACCACAGCGGGAUUCUGAACUGGCAUGUGACAUAACCUGAUUCGAAUUUUGGAAGAAACACCUUCACCUUCUUCAGGCCCUCUCUCCGCGGCUGCCUCCUCUUCCUACCAAGGCCUCACAGGUCACUCCCUGGAAACUGCCAGAUAAGCCAGGCAGGCGGGCGGGGCAGGAGCUCACGCGGCCCCUGGCAGGAGGCAGGCCCACACUGUCCCUCUCCACUCCUUCCACAUUGCUCGUCUGGCUUGAAGCUUGGAAGCGAUGGUGAGAGACAAGCAUGAGGUGGCUUUUUCUUAAAAGCUCUGCAGGUCUGGCCGAUGUGUUGGGCUUUUCCUAAACCCAUGUGUCUUGCUUUGCCAGGGUACAGCCUUCAGCGGAGGAGCAGGAGUCUGCUGAUUUCUGCCCUUCUGACUCAGCUGCAGGUCUGCGCAGGAAGGAGAGCAGGGCUGGCUCUGGGCUCUCCCGGCCCUAUCUUUUUAAAAGAAAGCUGUCUUUCUUCUUUGACCUCAA